rnacentral:ncRNA from 2 species
GUCUAGAGUUGGACCGCUGGCAGACGCCAGCGCACGUGUGCCAGCGAAGUCGGUGUGAAUCCGACGCUGUCCCGCAACGGUGAUGUCCCUUCGGGGGAUGAGCCCGGUCGCCUGCCCCCGUGCCCCGAACUGC